rnacentral:rRNA from 1 species
GAACGCUGGCGGCGUGCUUAACACCUGCAAGUCGAACGGAAAGGCCCUGCUUUUGUGGGGUGCUCGAGUGGCGAACGGGUGAGUAACACGUGAGUAACCUGCCCUUGACUUUGGGAUAACUUCAGGAAACUGGGGCUAAUACCGGAUAGGAGCUCCUGCUGCAUGGUGGGGGUUGGAAAGUUUCGGCGGUUGGGGAUGGACUCGCGGCUUAUCAGCUUGUUGGUGGGGUAGUGGCUUACCAAGGCUUUGACGGGUAGCCGGCCUGAGAGGGUGACCGGCCACAUUGGGACUGAGAUACGGCCCAGACUCCUACGGGAGGCAGCAGUGGGGAAUAUUGCACAAUGGGCGGAAGCCUGAUGCAGCAACGCCGCGUACGGGAUGACGGCCUUCGGGUUGUAAACCGCUUUCGCCUGUGACGAAGCGUGAGUGACGGUAAUGGGUAAAGAAGCACCGGCUAACUACGUG